rnacentral:tRNA from 1 species
GCGAGAGUGGUGGAAUUGGUAGACACGCUAGUCUUAGGAACUAGUGCCUUAGGUGUAUGGGUUCGAGUCCCUUCUCUCGCA